UCCGCCUCGUCGGCGGCGGUCCUCCUAGAGUACCCGGCCUUACCGCUGGUAACUAAGAGCAGGGGUUGCGCUCGUUGCGGGACUUAACCCAACACCUCACGACACGAGCUGACGACGGCCGUGCACCACCUGUGCUAACUCCACACAUAGUGUGGUCGUUCCUCUUUCAAUUCACUACCAUUAGCAUGUCAAACCUUGGUAAGGUCCUUCGCUUAGCAUCGAAUUAAACCACACGCUCCACCGCUUGUGCGGGUCCCCGUCAAUUCCUUUGGGUUUCACCCUUGCGGGCGUACUCCCCAGGCGGUUCACUUAUCGCGUUAGCUUUAGCACGGAGGGCUUUCCGCUCCCCACACCUAGUGAACAUCGUUUAGGGCCAGGACUAC
rnacentral:misc_RNA from 1 species